rnacentral:lncRNA from 1 species
CCUAGACUGAAAUCUAAGGCAAAGUUCAAAUUGUUUAUUCUUUUUUCUUGGCAGACUGUGUGUGUUUCUAUUCAACUACAAUGUUGAUCCUGUCCAGGACUCUCCUUUAAAUGCUGCUUUACUAAAAUCUUUAUUUAAAUCUGAUUUGAAUUGUUAGAAGGUUUUCUGGGGGGAAAAUUAAGAGACCAUACCAUGCUAACUUUUUAGAAACAUUUUCCAGAAUCACCAGUUAAUAUUACUUAAUUGAGAAAAAGGCUUGAUAACUAAAAUAUUCAGUGACUGAGAUAGUCUACUUAAUUAUGCCUUCUAGAUAAACUUCUAAGUAUUGUAGUUCUCCGAGCUUACGCCCACAUUAUUGAAAUCUUGGUAAAAUAAACAUUUGCCCUUUUCUAUAUUGUAUGGGUAGUUUAGAGCUGACACAGUGGAAUCUUUAACUCAUGGCUGAACUCCUGAAAUCAGCCCUGACUAAUUAACAAACACUUCUGACCCAGGCUGUACGGUUGUGUGCGUGUGUAUAAUGUAGACCUUGGGUGACAUUAUUGCGCUUUCUGCAUAGCUCAGCCUGAUGUCAGAACUCCAGGUGCACUAAACCACAUGUAGUGAAAAGAGAAACCAUGGUUCCGGUGGUGGUGCUUGUUGUUUUUGUUUUGUUUUGUUUUGUUUUGUUUUUUAACAUUUUCCGGUGUCUAUUUUGGCCACAUCUCCAGUGGGAAAAGCACUGCUUGCAAGGUGAUAUCCUUUGGUUGGUGCUCUGUCUCCAGCUUUCCUGGCCGAUAUCUCUGUCACUGACUAUGGUGAAAACACUGGGCAUGCUGAUGAAGCCUAAAAGUAACUUGAAGGAAGGCAAGUGAAUACAUUAGAUCAUAGAACUGGGAUUCAGAAAGGUCUCCAUGGACUGAAAUGAAUGGCAAGUGUCUAACCAGAUACAAUUCAGUGGGGAGAGAAAAGCGCAAGUCUCUGUACUUGGACAUAUUACACGGUCCAGAGGGGAAGAGUACUCUUUCUUUUAAAGCACUUGAAGGGCUGUUAUUGAAGGGUUUCUAAGCCUAAGGCCCAUAGACCAUCAUACACCUUAGGCAAUGACCCAGAAAUUGCCCAUAAGCCAUAUUUUCUGGGGGUGGAGUCUGUAAUGUUGAUUAAAUGCUCAAAAUAAGAAAAAAACAAAACAGAUUAGACCUAAAGGUUUUAACUGGGAAAAAUAAAAGGAAGCUACAAACAGAUUUUAUCUCCA